AAAUUGAAGAGUUUGAUCAUGGCUCAGAUUGAACGCUGGCGGCAGGCCUAACACAUGCAAGUCGAGCGGUAGCACAGAGAGCUUGCUCUCGGGUGACGAGCGGCGGACGGGUGAGUAAUGUCUGGGAAACUGCCUGAUGGAGGGGGAUAACUACUGGAAACGGUAGCUAAUACCGCAUAACGUCGCAAGACCAAAGUGGGGGACCUUCGGGCCUCAUGCCAUCAGAUGUGCCCAGAUGGGAUUAGCUAGUAGGUGGGGUAACGGCUCACCUAGGCGACGAUCCCUAGCUGGUCUGAGAGGAUGACCAGCCACACUGGAACUGAGACACGGUCCAGACUCCUACGGGAGGCAGCAGUGGGGAAUAUUGCACAAUGGGCGCAAGCCUGAUGCAGCCAUGCCGCGUGUGUGAAGAAGGCCUUCGGGUUGUAAAGCACUUUCAGCGGGGAGGAAGGCGAGAAGGUUAAUAACCUUGUCGAUUGACGUUACCCGCAGAAGAAGCACCGGCUAACUCCGUGCCAGCAGCCGCGGUAAUACGGAGGGUGCAAGCGUUAAUCGGAAUUACUGGGCGUAAAGCGCACGCAGGCGGUCUGUCAAGUCGGAUGUGAAAUCCCCGGGCUCAACCUGGGAACUGCAUUCGAAACUGGCAGGCUAGAGUCUUGUAGAGGGGGGUAGAAUUCCAGGUGUAGCGGUGAAAUGCGUAGAGAUCUGGAGGAAUACCGGUGGCGAAGGCGGCCCCCUGGACAAAGACUGACGCUCAGGUGCGAAAGCGUGGGGAGCAAACAGGAUUAGAUACCCUGGUAGUCCACGCCGUAAACGAUGUCGAUUUGGAGGUUGUGCCCUUGAGGCGUGGCUUCCGGAGCUAACGCGUUAAAUCGACCGCCUGGGGAGUACGGCCGCAAGGUUAAAACUCAAAUGAAUUGACGGGGGCCCGCACAAGCGGUGGAGCAUGUGGUUUAAUUCGAUGCAACGCGAAGAACCUUACCUGGUCUUGACAUCCACAGAACUUAGCAGAGAUGCUUUGGUGCCUUCGGGAACUGUGAGACAGGUGCUGCAUGGCUGUCGUCAGCUCGUGUUGUGAAAUGUUGGGUUAAGUCCCGCAACGAGCGCAACCCUUAUCCUUUGUUGCCAGCGGUUAGGCCGGGAACUCAAAGGAGACUGCCAGUGAUAAACUGGAGGAAGGUGGGGAUGACGUCAAGUCAUCAUGGCCCUUACGACCAGGGCUACACACGUGCUACAAUGGCAUAUACAAAGAGAAGCGACCUCGCGAGAGCAAGCGGACCUCAUAAAGUAUGUCGUAGUCCGGAUUGGAGUCUGCAACUCGACUCCAUGAAGUCGGAAUCGCUAGUAAUCGUAGAUCAGAAUGCUACGGUGAAUACGUUCCCGGGCCUUGUACACACCGCCCGUCACACCAUGGGAGUGGGUUGCAAAAGAAGUAGGUAGCUUAACCUUCGGGAGGGCGCUUACCACUUUGUGAUUCAUGACUGGGGUGAAGUCGUAACAAGGUAACCGUAGGGGAACCUGCGGUUGGAUCACCUCCUUA
rnacentral:rRNA from 1 species